UGGGGAGUAUUGCACAAUGGAGGGAACUCUGAUGCAGCGACGCCGCGUGAACGAAGAAGGCUUUCGAGUCGUAAAGUUCUUUUAUAUGGGAAGAUAAUGACGGUACCAUAAGAAAAAGCCCCGGCUAACUACGUGCCAGCAGCCGCGGUAAUACGUAGGGGGCUAGCGUUGUCCGGAAUCACUGGGCGUAAAGGGUUCGCAGGCGGAAAUGCAAGUCAGGUGUAAAAGGCAGUAGCUUAACUACUGUAAGCAUUUGAAACUGCAUAUCUUGAGAAGAGUAGAGGUAAGUGGAAUUUUUAGUGUAGCGGUGAAAUGCGUAGAUAUUAAAAAGAAUACCGGUGGCGAAGGCGACUUACUGGGCUCAUUCUGACGCUGAGGAACGAAAGCGUGGGUAGCAAACAGG
rnacentral:rRNA from 1 species